UAUUAUUUGAAGCGUGACGGAAAACAAGCGUCGAUGCGAGGGAGAUCGUCACGUGAAAAGGCCAUGUGCGCUGUUCGAUCAUGUAAACAAAGUGGAAGACAGAAAGUCCAACGUUAGCUAGGCUAUAAGAGAUUCAAAGAGAAUUCAGAUAGGAAAUGGAACUAUUGAACAAUAAAUUCUGCCUGGAAGCAGGAAUUGCGGAAUACAGUGCAAGGGAUCCCCGAUACUCUAUUUCAAAAGUUAUUGGAGCUAUACAAAGAAUCUUGAUUUAUAGAAGUAUACAGGUUUAAAAAAAAAAGAAAACAGUGUUGUAAAGAAAGAAAAGGAUUUUACAUUCAAAGAAUUAUGGAUGGC